rnacentral:rRNA from 1 species
GUCGAACGCACGAAGUUGAAGAGCUUGCUCUUUAACCAGUGAGUGGCGGACGGGUGAGUAACACGUGGGUAACCUGCCCAUUAGAGGGGGAUAACAUUCGGAAACGGAUGCUAAUACCGCAUAGUUUCAGGAAUCGCAUGAUUCUUGAAGGAAAGGUGGCUUCGGCUACCACUAAUGGAUGGACCCGCGGCGUAUUAGCUAGUUGGUGAGGUAAUGGCUCACCAAGGCAAUGAUACGUAGCCGACCUGAGAGGGUGAUCGGCCACACUGGGACUGAGACACGGCCCAGACUCCUACGGGAGGCAGCAGUAGGGAAUCUUCCGCAAUGGACGAAAGUCUGACGGAGCAACGCCGCGUGAGUGAAGAAGGUUUUCGGAUCGUAAAACUCUGUUGUUAAAGAAGAACAAGGAUGAGAGUAACUGCUCAUCCCCUGACGGUAUUUAACCAGAAAGCCACGGCUAACUACGUGCCAGCAGCCGCGGUAAUACGUAGGUGGCAAGCGUUGUCCGGAUUUAUUGGGCGUAAAGCGAGCGCAGGCGGUUCUUUAAGUCUGAUGUGAAAGCCCCCGGCUCAACCGGGGAGGGUCAUUGGAAACUGGAGAACUUGAGUGC